CCUACGGGGGGCAGCAGUAGGGAAUAUUGCUCAAUGGGGGAAACCCUGAAGCAGCAACGCCGCGUGGAGGAUGAAGGUUUUCGGAUUGUAAACUCCUUUUGUUAGAGAAGAUAAUGACGGUAUCUAACGAAUAAGCACCGGCUAACUCCGUGCCAGCAGCCGCGGUAAUACGGCGGGUGCAAGCGUUACUCGGAGUCACUGGGCGUAAAGAGCGCGUAGGCGGGAUAGCAAGUCAGAUGUGAAAUCCUAUGGCUUAACCAUAGAACUGCAUUUGAAAAUGUUAUUCUAGAGUAUGGGAGAGGUAGGUGGAAUUCUUGGGGUAGGGGUAAAAUGCGUAGAGAUCAAGAGGAAUACUCAUUGCGAAGGCGACCUGCUAGAACAUAACUGACGCUGAUGCGCGAAAGCGUGGGGAGCAAACAGGAUUAGAUACCCUGGUAGUC
rnacentral:rRNA from 1 species